GACGAACGCUGGCGGCGUGCUUAACACAUGCAAGUCGAACGGUAAGGCCCUUCGGGGUACACGAGUGGCGAACGGGUGAGUAACACGUGGGUGAUCUGCCCUGCACUUCGGGAUAAGCCUGGGAAACUGGGUCUAAUACCGGAUAGGACCCUGGGAUGCAUGUCCUGGUGGUGGAAAGCUUUUGCGGUGUGGGAUGGACCCGCGGCCUAUCAGCUUGUUGGUGGGGUGAUGGCCUACCAAGGCGACGACGGGUAGCCGGCCUGAGAGGGUGACCGGCCACACUGGGACUGAGAUACGGCCCAGACUCCUACGGGAGGCAGCAGUGGGGAAUAUUGCACAAUGGGCGCAAGCCUGAUGCAGCGACGCCGCGUGAGGGAUGACGGCCUUCGGGUUGUAAACCUCUUUCAGCACCGACGAAGCGCAAGUGACGGUAGGUGCAGAAGAAGGACCGGCCAACUACGUGCCAGCAGCCGCGGUAA
rnacentral:rRNA from 1 species